UCCAGGAAGCUCUCAUUCUGCUGCUGCGUGUUGCUUCGCCCUCGUCCGGCUUCAGCCUUACUCUCUCUCUCUGCGUGUGUGUGUCAGAGUUGCCUUACCCUGCCUCCUCUCUCCUCCCCCCCACAUUGAGUCCCCUUUUCCUCCUGCCUCUCGUGAGUGUGCUCUCGGUGCCUCUCUGGUCCUCUUAAUUCUCCUUCUUUUCGCCGUUUCUGCUCUGUCGUCUCCCUUUUUACGCCUCUCCUCGUCUUCUUCAGCAGACAGAUAAAGCAGAGACGGAGACAGCUUCCUGGAGUGCAAAGCAACGGCUGGUCUUUCCAAAUUUCGGCAGCACCGGCAGCAGCAGGCAUGGGAUCAACCUGCCAAAGCACAGCCUUGAAGUUUGGACUUUAAAGCGGACCGCCUGCUUGCUGGGAUGCUGAGCGGGACAGCCCCUCCCUCCCAGCUAAACAAACUGUUAGAUAAUGCCCACCAGGGAACAGUACCGGGGGAUGAGUUGAAAACGCACGCAUGGCCAGUAAAAUGCAAACAAUAAAAGGUCCCUUCACAAAUCCCUGUGUCCAAAUAAACAUGCUUGAAAAACUCAGUGGUUUCUCCCUCCUGUCACAUCUGAUGAGCAAAGAAACUGACUCUGAGCAGGAGGUGAUAAACCUUCUGAACUGAAAAGUCAAUUUUAUGUUCCUCAUGUCAUUCGUUUUAGAAAAUAUCAGUAUAUAUUUCCUGAUUUUACCAAAAGAAGAAUGAAUCUGGAAAAUGGAGUAACAACAAUUCACAGGCUUCAACGGUCAAAUGGCAUGAAGCCACAGCUCCCUGGCAACUAGACAGUUAAAAUGCAAACGAGACAGGCAGCACUUUCUGGAAGGGAGGGGCUUCCUUUUAGGACAGAUGACAGAGUGGAGAGGAAGAGGAGGGGAGGAGGAAGAAGGGGAGUGGAGAGGCAACGAUGGUGAAAGGAAGUGGGUUAUAAAUGAAAAAAAAAAAAAAAAAAAGUCCUUCCCGCCCAGAGAGGUAGAGCUGCUGCAAAUAUACAGGUGUCCGUCUCUAAACACUAUUACCAUGAAAUAGCCUGUAUUAGUGAGGCGGUCCUCUGUCCCAGGGAGGAAGGGUCUAUAACUAACUAACCAUUAUGGAAAUGAGAGCAGAAAGCGAGCAGUGUGCUGACUGGAGCCGACAAGAUGGCAAGUUCAUACCCGCGCUUCGGGGCAUACUCAGAAAUGAUCCAGCAGAGGAAUAUGAUGUUACCCAGUGUUAUCCAGGGCACCAUCAACUGUUAGCUGAAUGGGAACAAGCCUUUUGAUCCAUCAUGGACUGCAGCCAAUGGUGGAUGUUUGAUCUGGUAAAUGGCUCCUUCAGAUUACUGCUUUCACAGUAGUAAGGAAAAAAAAAAAACAUUUAGGGCAGAUAUGGCUGCUAGUAGAGCUGAAUCUUCCUCCUGACGGUGACAUAAGCCAUUAAAUUAACUCAAGACCAAG